rnacentral:rRNA from 1 species
GACGAACGCUGGCGGCGUGCUUAACACAUGCAAGUCGGGCGGUAAGGCCCUUUCGGGGGUACACGAGCGGCGAACGGGUGAGUAACACGUGGGUGACCUGCCCUCAGCUCUGGGAUAAGCCUGGGAAACCGGGUCUAAUACUGGAUAUGACUCCAUGACGCAUGUUGUGGGGUGGAAAGCCUUGUGCGGCUGAGGAUGGGCCCGCGGCCUAUCAGCUUGUUGGUGGGGUGANGGCCUACCAAGGCGACGACGGGUAGCCGGCCUGAGAGGGCGACCGGCCACACUGGGACUGAGACACGGCCCAGACUCCUACGGGAGGCAGCAGUGGGGAAUCUUGCGCAAUGGGCGAAAGCCUGACGCAGCGACGCCGCGUGAGGGAUGACGGCCU